CGCCGUCGCGCAAUGGCGUGGCGGAGCCGUCCGCCCGCUCUGCGUGUUCGACGCGAAGCCGCUCCCCUACAAGGACGCAGUCGCCGAUGGAAAGUCAUGGGGCGACAUUCCGACAUGCAAGUCGCAAGGGCUCGAUGUCGAGUACGUGAUGCUGCGCGGAUUCUUCACAUCGCCGAAGGCGACCAAGGAGCAGGUCGAUUAUUAUGUGGAUGUGCUCAAGAAAGUUCGUGAAACACCCGAAUGGCAAAGCCUGAUG
rnacentral:misc_RNA from 1 species